rnacentral:rRNA from 1 species
UGGGGAAUAUUGGACAAUGGGCGAAAGCCUGAUCCAGCCAUGCCGCGUGUGUGAAGAAGGUCUUCGGAUUGUAAAGCACUUUAAGUUGGGAGGAAGGGCAGUAAGCGAAUACCUUGCUGUUUUGACGUUACCGACAGAAUAAGCACCGGCUAACUCUGUGCCAGCAGCCGCGGUAAUACAGAGGGUGCAAGCGUUAAUCGGAAUUACUGGGCGUAAAGCGCGCGUAGGUGGUUCGUUAAGUUGAAUGUGAAAGCCCCGGGCUCAACCUGGGAACUGCCUCCAAAACUGGCGAGCUAGAGUAGGGCAGAGGGUGGUGGAAUUUCCUGUGUAGCGGUGAAAUGCGUAAAUAUAGGAAGGAACACCAGUGGCGAAGGCGACCACCUGGGCUCAUACUGACACUGAGGUGCGAAAGCGUGGGGAGCAAACAGG